ACAGAAGUAAACGCAAUUAGUCAAGAAGAGAUGUUUGUAUCAAAAGGAGAGAAACUAAAGAGUGAAAGAGAGAGAGAGUGUGUGUUUGAAUAUACAUGUUUAGUAUGAAAAGAAAUUUCUCAAUUCAGUUUCAAAAUGUCGACAGGUAAAAUAGCAUGCACAAAAGCAUUCAUAGAUGUACAAAGAUCCAAGUUAACUGGAUUAUUAAAUCGGCUCAUGUCACUGUAUAUACUCCAGUAGUCCUUUUUAAGUUGAGUUUCGAAAAUAUUAUGAAAACUUAUUGAGUUUUUGAUAUCACUCAAUUUAGCCUAAGUGAUUUGUACUCUCUCAAAUAAGAGGUCGAGUUGUAAUAUUUACGGAUCGAAUCCACAAUAAAUUGGGGCACACAAAAGAUCUUAAACAUAUUAUAAUUAAGUUAGGUCAAUUAUGGAAAUAGUAAAUUGCAGUGGUAAACAAGGCAGUUGUUCGGUUGAUUGGUUUUAGGUUUUGUAAACAAUAAUGAAAAACCGUUAGACUUGGGGG
rnacentral:lncRNA from 1 species